rnacentral:rRNA from 1 species
UUAAGGAUAAAUGGCGGAUGCCUAGACAUCAAAAGACGACGAAGGACGUAGCAGCCUGCGAAAAGUCUCGGUGAGGUGGCAAGCAACCUUUGACCCGGGAAUGUCCGAAUGGGGAAACCCACUUGAAGUAAUGUUCAAGUAUCCAUGUCUAAAUACAUAGGGCAUGUGAAGUGAACCCAGCGAAGUGAAACAUCUCAGUAGCUGGAGGAAAAGAAAAAAGUUUUGUCUGUAAAAUCAUGGCCCCCCUUUAAGGGCAAUGAUUUUACAGAUAGUAUUCCGUUAGUAGUGGCGAACGAAAGCGGAGCAGUCCAAACCAAUUCAGUGUUUUAUUUACAAAGAUUCUUUCUUUUAGAAUUAAUCUGCGUAGGUGAUUAAAGGUGUAUGCCGUUGCUGAUAUGGUGUUGAAGAUAAUUACGUUUGUCUGCAUACGAGGACAAGGUAGUAUAUAUAGCUUCCCUAGUAGAACAGUCUGGAAAGGCUGACCAAAGAAGGUGAAAGUCCUGUACACAAAAGGGGUUGUAUAAUUGCGGUUUUUAUCUAGAGUACCAUGGAACUCGUGAAAUUCCGUGGGAAGCAGCCGUGACUAUGCGGUAAGACUAAAUACUUUUGGUGAUCGAUAGUGAACUAGUACCGUGAGGGAAAGGUGAAAAGUAGGCCGGUAAGGCCGAUGAAAUAGUAUUUGAAACCAUUUAUCUACAAAGAGUUGAAGCCCAAGUGCUUACUUCGGUAAGAUUACUGGGUGACAGCGUUCCUAUUGAAGAAUGAGCCAACGAGUUUAUCUACGUUGUUUGUUUAACCUCUAAAGAGGGAAGGCACAGUGAAAGCGAGGCUUAACCGCCGACAGACGCCUAGCGUCAUUCACAGCGUGGAUAAGACCCGAAACCGGGUGAGCUAACCAUGACCAGGGUGAACUCUGUGUAACAACAGAGGGAAGCCCGAACCCACUCGCCGUGCAACACGAGGGGAUGAGUUGUGGUUAGGGGUGAAAUGCUAAUCGAACUCGGUAAUAGCUGGUUCUCCUCGAAAUAGCUUUAGGGCUAGCUUUGGAAUUAGACUCAGGGGUAGAGCACUGAAUGAGAACAGGUGCGCAAGCUUACUGUUUUCAAUCAAACUCCGAAUACUGAGUAUCCGUAUUCCAAAAGUCAGACUAUGGGGGCUAAGCUCCAUCAGUCAAAAGGGAAACAGCCCAGACCGCCAUCUAAGGUCCCUAAGUUCAUAUUAAGUGUGAAAGGUGGUGUCGAUUCUUAAACAACCAGGAAGUUGGCUUAGAAGCAGCCAUCUUUUAAAGAUAGCGUAACAGCUCACUGGUCAAGAGUCUUCGCGCCGAAAAUGUAUCGGGGCUAAAUAUGACACCGAAGAUGCGGCUUCUCAGCUUUUAGCUGAGAGGGGUAGAGGAGUGUUCUAAUUGGGUUGAAGUCGUACUCGCGAGAGACGGUGGACUGAUUAGAAGUAAGAAUGUUGGCAUGAGUAACAAAAAUCAGGGUGAGAAUCCCUGACACCGCAAACCUAAGGUUUCCUGGGCAACGUGAAUCGACCCAGGGUUAGUCGGGCCUAAGGCGAGGCCGAAAGGCGUAGUCGAUGGACGAGCUGGUUAAUAUUCCAGCACUACCUUAAUUUUCCGAUGGGGGGACGCAUUAACAUACGCUAAGCGUUAUCAUGGUUUAUGACGUUGUUGAUUCUAAGCGUGGUAAGUAGGCAAAUCCGCUUACCAUUAAGCGCUGAAGUUGACAGAAGAGAAAGCUUACGCAGACUCAAUUUAGCCGGAGUUAGUGCCAAGAAAAACCUCUAGGGCUAAGAUUAAGGUAUCCGUACUAAAACCGACACAGGUAGGUGAGGCGAGUAGCCUCAGGUGUACGAGAGAAACCUUUGUUAAGGAACUCGGCAAAACAGCGACCGUAACUUCGGGAUAAGGUCUCCCCACUUCGGUGGGGCGCAGCUAAAGAUGUCAAGCGACUGUUUACCAAAAACACAGGUCUCUGCUAAACCGCAAGGUGAUGUAUAGGGGCUGAUGCCUGGCCAGUGUCCGAAGGUUAAAGGGAGGGGUGCAAGCUCCGAUCUGAAGCCCGGAUGAACGCCGGCCGUAACUAUAAAACGGGCCAUUGUAGUUACGUUAAUAAAUCUAGCUAUAUGCGGGAAAACCCCGUCAGAAGUUAAAAGUACUAGGCUAAUAUAUAUAGUCAGUAAAAAUCUUUUAAUUAGUUCUCGAAAGUUUCGGGACACGGGACGAUCCGCAGGAAAGACUCUAAAAUAUAUGGAAAAAUAUUUGAACAGAGUCAACCCAGAUAUUGGUCAUUAUCUAUCUGGCUUUACAGA